rnacentral:piRNA from 1 species
UUAAAAGUGAUAGGCCUCCU